rnacentral:rRNA from 1 species
UACGUAGGGUGCGAGCGUUAAUCGGAAUUACUGGGCGUAAAGCGUGCGCAGGCGGUUUUGUAAGCCAGAUGUGAAAUCCCCGGGCUUAACCUGGGAAUGGCAUUUGGGACUGCAAGGCUCGAGUGCGGCAGAGGAGACUGGAAUUCCUGGUGUAGCAGUGAAAUGCGUAGAUAUCAGGAGGAACACCGAUGGCGAAGGCAGGUCUCUGGGCUGACACUGACGCUCAUGCACGAAAGCGUGGGAGCGA